UUGACCUCGGAUCAGGUAGGGAUACCCGCUGAACUUAAGCAUAUCAAUAAGCGGAGGAAAAGAAACCAACAGGGAUUGCCUCAGUAACGGCGAGUGAAGCGGCAACAGCUCAAAUUUGAAAUCUGGCCCCCUCGGGGUCCGAGUUGUAAUUUGUAGAGGGUGUUUCGGGCGCCGAUGCCCGGUCU
rnacentral:rRNA from 1 species